rnacentral:tRNA from 1 species
GCCUCUUCAGCUCAGCAGGAGAGAGCACCCGUCUCGUAAACGGGAGGACCGGGUUCGAGUCCCGGAAGAGGCU